GUGAGCUGAGAUCGCACCACUGCACUCCAGCCUGGAUGAGAGAGCGAGACUUUGUCUCUAGAUAAAUAAUAAAUUGGGCUCGGCUAAAGUGGCAGACUUCCAUCCUGACCUUUACUCUGCCCAAUAACCCUACCGGAGGGCAGCCCAUUUCAGGUUAUCCUGCAGUAUCACCAGAAGCAUUAUGCUCAGUCUGCAAUUCCAAGUUAUUCCAAAGGCAGCCCACACCAACCUCUUCCUGGAGUCAAUGUUUCCUAUGGAGAAUGGAUUAAAUAAGAAUCUCCUUGAAUUCAUCAGAGAGCCCUGAACUCUGAUGUCCUGUUGGUCCUGAUCUUGACUCUACCUCUCUCCUUGAGGGAACUGGUAUUCUAUGGCUAGGACAGACUGGAAUCUGAGACUGGGCACAUCUGGGGCUCCAAUCCACAUGAAGGGAGAGAAUACAAGAUAAGAAGCAAGUAUAAAUUGCCAUGUCCAGAACAAAAUCAAAGCCAGACUUUCUGGGGUGGAAGGUGCAGGAGAAACUUGUAAAGGGGAGGCCAAACCUAGAGCUGACCCUCAUAUUCAUGGAUUUGCCUUUGUGUUUUCUCGUUGGUUUUCCUGCCACCACCAUUUUGGCCACACGGGGGCACUGCUUACCCUUGCUAUUCUCUUAACUCCUUCUAAGGAGUCUGCCUCAAGACUGGAAAGUUCGAAUAGCACCUUAGCAAAUGCCGAGAUGACGUGUAAACUAAAAGCAACAUGGGUUAUAAGCAUGGCCAUGAAGAUGCAGAGAUCACAGGGUCCAGAGAAAAGGUGAAGCUUGCUUUAAGACUCCUGUAGUCCAUAUGAAGAUUCUGCUGCUUCAAUCAAAUCCAAAAGUGUAAAAGAAGCCCAGCAGACAGUGAUUAAGGGACCAGACCCUGGAACCAGACUGUGCGUGAGGGUUCAUGCCCCAGCUCUGAUAGUUGUGUGACCCUUGGCAAACACCUUAUCUCUGGGGACCUCAAUUCCUCAUCACAAGGAUGAUACCAAUGCGCACAGGAUGAGGUUGUUACAGAGAUUAAGUGAGCUCAUCUAUGUAAAGCACUCACAAGUCUUCGUCUCACAGCAGGUGCUAACAGGGAGAGGCCUGAGGGGAUUUGGAGAGCUGCCUGUUUCCUCUGCCCUGCAGGAUGGGAUUGACAGUGCCCCUGGCUGAGGAAGGAGGGCACAAGGACGCUGUGGCCGUCAGGCCAGGACUCUGCACUUUAGGUGCAGGAGAGGAGGUGACAGGAAGCUGAGGCUUGGCUGACCACAUGCAAAGGCAUGACUUCCGCCCUGCAAUUCAGAGGCAUCCAUGGACAGAGAAGUGGACCUGGAGGACGGUGGGGCAGCUCUGCAGGCGUCUCUGCGCAGAGCCUCAGGGGUUUGGGCAGACCUUUCUGAACCUGUUGAUGGAAGUCUGAGGAGGAGCCUGGGCGGAACUCUACCCCCCUUCAUCCUGGGGGCCACAAGGCCAGGCUCUGAUGGCUGGCCUUUUGACUAGAAGAGCAGAAAAGUACCUGGGAGGUCCAUUGCAGCAGCAGCCAAGAUAAGUAAGAGCAGAUGUGUUCGUGAGAACAUCUGAGAUGCCCAUGAGGGCCUCCCCGGUGGCUCCAGGUAACUUUGCAGGAGGAGGAGCCAGGGAAAGUGGAGGGACCACAGGAGCUCAGACCCCAGCUCAGUGCUACCCGGGGAUGCUCCGGUCAACAUUCGUGCACAUGAACUGCCUGUAAUGCCACACUCACUCCCAAGCCAGACCCACCGUUUCCAGAGCACCUUAUAGACUGGAAGCACUUGCCCCCAAACUUCAUCCUUCAUGCUCAUAACGACCCCAUGGAAGGGGGUGCUUUGAUGCCUUGUAAAUGAGGAAAGAGAGUUGGAGAACUUAGGGAAUUUUUCUAACAUCACACAACUCAGGUCAGGAAUCCAACCUGAAUUUAUUCUCACAUCUUUUCAUAUUGCAUGCUAUUUAAGUUCCAUGGCCCUUUGUUAUAAUCAAUCUUUACUGUACACCCACAGCUCCCUUCUUCGGGCUUACUCAGUAAAUGGCAAGCCCAGCCAAGAUCAACUGUUUGCCUACUACUCCCACCUUCAGAAACAUGGCUGGCCAUGGCUGGAAAACGAAAGCAAACCUCCAUUGCGAUGGUCAAAUUCAUGGCCUUUAACCUCAAGUCAGUCCAGUGAGGCUCUGGUGCUGUCUGGCCCAUUCACUCUCCCACUACUGCGGAUAACUAUUUCAUACCUUCUCCUCUGCUUCACACUCCUGGAAGGAUCCAGGACCCCAGCGUGCAGCAAGGUUAUGGUGGGAAAGCCCCGUUUCUGACCAUCAGAGAUGGUGCCUGAGGUCUGGGUAUUGGUACCAGCCACCCCUCCGCCCAGUUCCCAGGGAUCAGCUAAAUAUGCAAAUUCCCUAGGUUUUGGCAAUGAAUGACUCCCCUGAUACUAACUCACAUAUUUAACGUGCUCUUUGGGAGGGAUGGCAUUUUGAGGAAGGGUUCAUUAGCGCCGUGUUCUUCUGAGUGGGCAGGGUUAGGCGACCCACAAUGCCUGUGCUCUAUGUUGCUCUUCCCUGUCCUGUCUCUCUGUCUGCAUCAGAAAGAAGAUAUGCAACUAACACAAGGCUAGGAACGUGUCACCUGGCUGCUUCUCACCUGGGAGGGGUGAGGGGACUUUGGGUGAAACUUGGGGAGAUUCACUGCAGCUCCCACUUCUCCUGGGACGCACCAGGCCAGCAGCACCGCCGUCUGUUUUACCCGGGUUCCAUGCACUACCUCUACACAAUGAGCACCAAGCAGAGAUGUCACAUGAGUGAAAGAGUGAUGUCAGUUGAGCAAGAUAACUCCUUUAAACCUCACUGCUCCUGCCACCCUGUCGAGGGCCACAGAGCAGAGAGGUCAAUGGGGCUCCAGUCUCUCCCUACCUCAUGACCGUGGUCCUGUGGUUUGCAGGCUUCUUUGUGAACCAGUAAUUAUUUAGGGAGCUUAAAAAUGUUAGAAAAAUUUUAUUUAAAAGCAUUAGAUUUUUAGUAACAUUCUAGCUCCAUAACUAUCUAAGUGGCUCCUGGAAACAAGCAGACAUUUCUUUCUUAGGCUCUAAGUUGAGGUGACCUUCCUUAGUGGUGAAUACCGUUUGUUAAAACCAGAAAUCUCGGAGUUGACUCUGGCAGGUUGAGUGUCCAUGCAGGCACCAGGGAAGGCAGAUGGUACAUAUCUGAGUCCAGGUAAGACCCAAGUAAGAGUCCCUUAAGGGUGAGACACAACAGGAAUCAAAGCUGAAGAAGUGACAGAUGUCUAUGAAGUCCCCUUGGUGGAAGGGUUGGUCCCAGUGGAUGAGGCUGGAGUUGGCAUCCUUCUCACAGGGAGACCAGGCUGGGUAUUCUGCCUGAGUCAGCCUGUCGGAUGCUCUGGCUACACAUACACUCCAUAGCCCUGGGAAAACCCAAGUACACAGGCUGAGCCACAGGAAGAUUCUAGUCCAGGAGCUGCUGGACCAGGGUGGGGGACAGAGGCAGGGAGAGGCAGACAUUCAGGGCAUAGAAGAACUACGUCCUGAGUGCUUCUAAGAGCUAGGAAGCAGUGCUCGCAUCAAAGCUGACUUCUCUGCACAGCCACUGUUGAAGACCCAGAGGAGCAGAGCAAGAACCACGUCUAAGCACCAAGACUUCUCUCUGGUCUCAGGCCCCAGGCAGUGUGACCUUCUGUCCUGUCUCCGUGCCUGUCAGGCCAAUUCCCUCCUCUUAGUUCUGGUCAUGAGGGGCCCUUGCACUUCCAACCCUCCCCACCCAUCACCCUUAUCAUUCCACUUAUGGAAAUCUCUCUCAUGAACUUCCCAAGCCCCCACCUGCUUGCUAGGACCCCCCAAUAUCAGGCUGCUUUCUGGGAGCCGAUUGCUUUCUCAGAGCCCUGGUGCUCUGCGAGUUGCAGACCUGGGAAGUGAAGCAGAAGCUUCACAGGAUACCCUGAGCACUGUGCAGGGACAGAGGCUGCAGCCCCACCUUGUGGACUUCUGGCUUGGCCCAGCCCUACACAGUCUCAGGUCAUGUAGCCUGGAGUUUCUGUAACAAUGGUACCGAGUCUAAGGUUCUAAGCAGACACUGCUGCCCCUUCAUGCUGCUCAAAUAAACGGGGAAAAGGAUGUGAAUCAAGAGUUUCAAGGUGAAUGGGGCGUGUCAGGGAGUGGGAAGGUGUGGGUGGCAGACCUAGGGACCAUUUUUCCUCUCCACUCUCUGAAAUGACUUUCACACCUUUUUAUCUCUUCUCAUACCUCCAACAGCCCUGCCUCUCCUUACUCUCAGCUGCUACACUGCUUCCUGUUUAACUGAGAAAACAUGUAAACUACCCCAGAUUUUAUUAAUAGCCAUUCUUCCUCUAAAGCGCUGGACCCCACCCUACUUCCCACUCAAGGACAUCCCCCCUGUAAUUGACCUCUAUCCACCUGCAUCAUUAGUUUUUCCCUCUCUAUGGGAUCAUUUUUGAGCAAAUCAUGCUGGGAUGGUGAACUUUUAAAAAUCAGCUCGACCGAGCUAUAAUUUGUAUAUAAAAUGCACUCAUUUAAGAUGUGAAGUUAGAUGAGUUUGACGAAUGUAUACACCUGUGUAGUCACCACCACAGCCAUCACAUUGUAUAAAUUCCCAUCACCCUCAAAAGGUUUCCCAUGGCUGAGUGGCAUUCCCUUGUGUGGCUACAGCACAGUUUGUUUAUUCAUUUGCCUAUUGGUGUGCAAUUGUGUGGUUUCUACUUUUUGGCUAUUAUGAAUAAAAAGUGCAGUGAACAUUGAU